rnacentral:rRNA from 1 species
UACGUAGGGUGCGAGCGUUGUCCGGAAUUACUGGGCGUAAAGAGCUCGUAGGUGGUUUGUCGCGUUGUCCGUGAAAACUCACAACUCAAUUGUGGGCGUGCGGGCGAUACGGGCAGACUGGAGUACUGCAGGGGAGACUGGAAUUCCUGGUGUAGCGGUGGAAUGCGCAGAUAUCAGGAGGAACACCGGUGGCGAAGGCGGGUCUCUGGGCCGGUACUGACGCUGAGACGCGAAAGCGUGGGGGAGCGAACAGG